GCGCAGCAGUCGAGAAACUUCACACUGUGCGAAAGCACGAUGAGGGAAUCCCAAGUGCUUGCACGUAAGUGUAAGCUGUUUCUCUGUUUAAAACGCAGAGAGAGUAAGGGCUGGGGUAAGACGGGUGCCAGCCGCCGCGGUAAAUACCUGCAGCUCAAGUGGUGACUGUUAGUUAUUGGGGCCCUAAAAACGUCCGUAGCCCGGUUUUAAUAAAAUGCCCUGGGGUAAAAUCGUGUAGC
rnacentral:rRNA from 1 species